rnacentral:rRNA from 1 species
AUGGUGCAGAUCGCACGUUCGAUCAAAAACGACGUCGGCGGGUGGGGUGAUUGGGCAAAAACAGAGUUUUAUCUCGACGAGCCACAGAUCAUGGCUUCACCGGACUGCAACCCGGUCCUCCACGGCGGCGCCAUGUACAUAGGAGAAGACGGGAGGCUGGGCGUGUACAAGGAGGAAGGGCACGCUCAAAGCUUCCAAGUUCUCGAGAAGCCCCUGAGCUUCGGGUCCUACUCCGAAUGCGAAGAAAAGUACCUCGUCGAGGAUGACCGGGGCGAGCUAAUGGCCGUCCUGUUUGGCCGCCGUGGGUCGCCGGUGGACGUCGUCGAGCUCGACAAGCGCACGAUGGAGUGGAACAAGGUUGAGAUCCUUGAGGGAAGAGCAUUGUUCACCGGCACGCGCACGACGAUGGUGAAGAAGACCAACCUCAAGUGCAUGCAGAACAAGAUUUUCAUCCCGAGGCUACACGACUGGCCCGAGACUGUCCAUGUUGAUAUUGUUCAGCGAGACGGUGAACUCGCCUUCCUGCCGAAAGAAGGAUGUGUAGGUAUUAAGACUGGCAUCUGUGGCACGGGCAUAUGGUCUCAGGAAUUGGGACAACACCAAGAAGCAAGGGGAUAUUGGGGGACAGAGAAACUAGACUAUAGUAUCUGGGUUGAUUUUGAUGGUCCUAUAGUUGGCAUCGUUAUUGGGCAUUUUGACCGGGCGAAUGUAACAAGAUAG